AUGCCCAGUGAUUAUGAAAAGACGCGUUAUUCUGAGGAACACAACCUGCUACCAGCCUUUCUUCUAUCUUUUACUUUGUCUUUGAUCUCCAUCUUUCCUGUCCUUCCUCCACUCCUCCUCCUCCUCUUCUUUUCUUCAAACUGGUAGCUUGUCCGCUGACUGCGAUUAUGAGAUAUGAGGGCAU